rnacentral:lncRNA from 1 species
AAAAUUGGACCUUGGGACUGGCCAGUCGCUUUCCUAUGCAAGAGGCUCGACCCGGUGGCCGCUGGAUGGCAGGUGUGCCUCUGGAUCAUAGCGGCCAUAGCCCUACUAGUCAGAGACGCAGACAAACUAACACACGGGCAGCCGCUGAUCAUCGCCACAUCCCAUGCCAUGGAGAGCCUUCUCCACCAACCCCCAACCCGCUGGAUCUCUCAUGCCCGGCUGACACAUUACCAGUCCCUUCUCCUGGAUGAGAAUCCACUCUCCUUCCGUGUGGUCUCCACCUUGAAUCCCGCUACCCUCUUGCCCACCUCCUCGACCACCGGCCCAGAGCACUCAUGCCAGGAGAUCCUCGUGGAAUCGAUCUCUGCGGGACCUGACCUGAAAGACACACCUCUACCGCACUCAGACCUUAUCCUCUUCACCGAUGGCAGCAGCUUCGUGACACCCUCCGGUCAACAAGCAGGAGCCGCCAUUGUGGAUAAUGUAGGUACCAUCUGGUGGUGGGCUUCCCUUCCAGGAGGAACCUCAGCUCAGUGGGCAGAAUUUGUCGCCCUGACAGCAGACCUCCGAUUGGUCAAGGGGAAGUGACUGACAGUCUACACAGACAGCCGGUAUGCCUUUGCCACCCUACAUGUCCAUGCCCCCAUCUACCGGGAACGAGGCUAUGUCACCUCCACCAGGAAGCCAGUGGCCCACCUCCAGGACAUCCAGGAACUGCUGGCCACAGUAUGGGAACCUAAGGCCGUCGCAGUGGUACAUACCCCGGGACACCAGUCGGGGACAUCUCCAGAGGCUACGGGAAACCGCCGGGCCAACGAAGCUGCCAGAAAAGCAGCGUCAGAGGCCCCACUAUAUGAACUGGCAAUUAUCACGACCCCUGCCAUCCUUACCAGCCCUGCCGCUGAUACCUCAAACCCUCCCUAAUACUCCCAUUCAGACAUGGAGUGGGUUGAAACCAACUCCAGACAAUUGUCCAACGGAUUCUACCGAGACCCUGAGGGUAGCUUGCUAUUCCCUCAAACUCUGGCCCAACUUCUCUCUGCCCAUCUGCACCACCUCACCCACAUGGGGGCUACCAAGCUACGUGAAUUGCUAAAAAAAGGACAAGUAAAAUUCAGAGGCUCCGGGACCUUCCUGGACGAACUGGUCAGUAACUGUAAAACCUGCCAACUCAACCGAGCAGCAGUCACGGGUCCCCAUGCCGGAGCCAGACUCUGUGGCACCCGACCUUGCGAACAUUGGGAAGUGAACUUCACUGAGGAGGGAAUCACUCAGGAACCAUGGAAAUGGACCUUGACGCCCAUGACGGCCCCGCAUGCAGUCCAAACGCAAACCGUCUCUGGUAACCGGGAACCCACCUUCAAGAUCCUCAGCUGUACACUGAUCCAGACCGAAUACUGCAGUGAAGAUGGGGUCGACAAAGAAGGGCGGCCAUUCCCGACAGCCGACCCCUCGGAAUUCAGCGAAACAGGUUACACACCUCUCAUGGGCCACUAUCUCUGCCCCAGGUCAGAUGGCCAACCCUACUGCGGUGGGGAUGAACACAUCGACAAUUAUUACUGCCACUUCUGGAGGUGUGUAACCAUCGCCGGAGGCAGGGAAACCUCCUGGACAGUGGAUGCAGAUCCAUUCCUCAAAAUGACUCUGGGUUUUAACAAGGGAUGCCGUUGGCAUUGGUCCCAAACCCUUACUGCCAAAAGGGCCCGCUGCACCUCACUGAUCCUUACCCUGCGGCGUCCCAAAGAUAGCAGCUGACUUUCAGGGCGCGUUUGGGGAGUCCGUAGAUACGAAACUGGGUAUGACCAGGGACCUUGUUCACAAUCAGCAAGAGGCCCACCGCCGUCCCGGUAGCUAUAGGACCCAACCCCAUAUUCAACCCAGACCCCGCCAGGCCUGCCAAUA